CUUAGCAUCAUAUUGCUUUGAUGUAGAUAGCAGGAUGAGCAAGUAAGACCUAUGUGGUGUGUUAAAGGCCAUUGGAAUCCUGGGUUGGACGAAGUUUAAUGGGAUGCAUGCUAGGGAUCUAUGGUUAGUAUUGGAGGACUCAUGGUUAAGUAGUGUUUCCUGUGCUUUGGAUCAGGUCUUGAUCCGAAAAAAAUGAUG